rnacentral:rRNA from 1 species
GACAGAGGGUGCGAACGUUGCUCGGAAUUACUGGGCGUAAAGCGCGUGUAGGUGGGUCCGCAAGUCGGGCGUGAAAUCCCUGGGCUCAACCCGGGAACUGCGCUCGAAACUGCAGAUCUUGAGUGCCGGAGAGGGUGGCGGAAUUCCUGGUGUAGAGGUGAAAUUCGUAGAUAUCAGGAGGAACACCGGUGGCGAAGGCGGCCACCUGGACGGCUACUGACACUGAGACGCGAAAGCGUGGGGAGCAAACAGG